rnacentral:rRNA from 1 species
CGAGUGGCGAACGGGUGAGUAACACGUGGGUGAUCUGCCCUGCACUCUGGGAUAAGCCUGGGAAACUGGGUCUAAUACCGGAUAUGACCAACUGUCGCAUGGUGGUUGGUGGAAAGCUUUUGCGGUGUGGGAUGGGCCCGCGGCCUAUCAGCUUGUUGGUGGGGUAAUGGCCUACCAAGGCGACGACGGGUAGCCGACCUGAGAGGGUGAUCGGCCACACUGGGACUGAGACACGGCCCAGACUCCUACGGGAGGCAGCAGUGGGGAAUAUUGCACAAUGGGCGCAAGCCUGAUGCAGCGACGCCGCGUGAGGGAUGACGGCCUUCGGGUUGUAAACCUCUUUCACCAGGGACGAAGCGUGAGUGACGGUACCUGGAGAAGAAGCACCGGCCAACUACGUGCCAGCAGCCGCGGUAAUACGUAGGGUGCGAGCGUUGUCCGGAAUUACUGGGCGUAAAGAGCUCGUAGGCGGUUUGUCGCGUCGUCUGUGAAAUUCUGCAACUCAAUUGCAGGCGUGCAGGCGAUACGGGCAGACUUGAGUACUACAGGGGAGACUGGAAUUCCUGGUGUAGCGGUGAAAUGCGCAGAUAUCAGGAGGAACACCGGUGGCGAAGGCGGGUCUCUGGGUAGUAACUGACGCUGAGGAGCGAAAGCGUGGGUAGCGAACAGGAUUAGAUACCCUGGUAGUCCACGCCGUAAACGGUGGGUACU